rnacentral:rRNA from 1 species
GACGAACGCUGGCGGCGUGCUUAACACAUGCAAGUCGAACGAAGAGCGAUGGAAGCUUGCUUCUAUCAAUCUUAGUGGCGAACGGGUGAGUAACGCGUAAUCAACCUGCCCUUCAGAGGGGGACAACAGUUGGAAACGACUGCUAAUACCGCAUACGAUCUAAUCUCGGCAUCGAGGAUAGAUGAAAGGUGGCCUCUACAUGUAAGCUAUCACUGAAGGAGGGGAUUGCGUCUGCUUAGCUAGUUGGAGGGGUAACGGCCCACCAAGGCGAUGAUCAGUAGCCGGUCUGAGAGGAUGAACGGCCACAUUGGGACUGAGACACGGCCCAGACUCCUACGGGAGGCAGCAGUGGGGAAUCUUCCGCAAUGGACGAAAGUCUGACGGAGCAACGCCGCGUGAGUGAUGGCGGCCUUCGGGUUGUAAAGCUCUGUUAAUCGGGACGAAAGGCCUUCUUGCAAAUAGUGAGAAGGAUUGACGGUACCGGAAUAGAAAGCCACGGCUAACUACGUG